rnacentral:rRNA from 1 species
UACGAAGGGGGCUAGCGUUGCUCGGAAUUACUGGGCGUAAAGGGCGCGUAGGCGGCACUGUUAGUCAGGCGUGAAAGUCCUGGGCUCAACCUGGGAACUGCGCUUGAUACGGCAGAGCUAGAGGAUGGAAGAGGGUCGCGGAAUUCCCAGUGUAGAGGUGAAAUUCGUAGAUAUUGGGAAGAACACCGGUGGCGAAGGCGGCGAGCUGGUCCGUUACUGACGCUGAGGCGCGACAGCGUGGGGAGCAAACAGG